GGCAUGGUGGUUUAGUGGUUAGCACAUUUGACUCGCACUUCUAAGGUUGUGGGUUUGAUUCCCUUCUCUGUGU